UUUCUAUUUCAUUCUCUAUCUUUUUGUUACUAAGUUUUGGCUUUUAUAGUCGAAAUAUAUUACAUUAUAUUACUCUUUUUUGUUUAUUUUUUUUCUAUUCUACUGUUCUCUGCUUCUGUGUUUUUGCUUUUAUUUUUUUUCUUUUUUGCAGGUAUCCAUGGCAGUCAACGGCGAUAGGGAGCCGUGCCCCUUGCCAUUUCGGUGCAAUGGUGGUAGAGAAAGUGUCAGGCCCCAGAUGGC
rnacentral:lncRNA from 1 species